UUUAAGGUCUAAUCUGCCCUAUGAGGAGUUAAAUGGCCGCGGUAUUUUGACCGUGCAAAGGUAGCAUAAUAAUUAGUUUUUUAAUUGAAAGCUGGAAUGAAUGAUUGGACGAGAAAAUUACUGUCUCAAGUUGAUUUAAUUAGAAUUUUAUAUUUAAGUAAAAAAGCUUAAAUUUUUUUAAAAGACGAGAAGACCCUAUAGAGUUUUAUAUAUUUAUUUAUAAUAAAAUUUUUGGAAUUAUGUGUUUGUUAUAUGUAAUUAUAUUUUGUUGGGGUGAUAGAAAAAUUAAAUUAACUUUUUUUAUAAAUUUUUACAUUAAUUUAUGAUUAAAUGAUCCAUUUUUUAUGAUUAUAAGAUUAAAUUACCUUAGGGAUAACAGCGUAAUUAUUUUUUAGAGUUCUUAUCGAAAAAAUAGAUUGCGACCUCGAUGUUGGAUUAAAAUAAAUGUUUGGUGUAGGGGCUAAAUAGUUAGGUCUGUUCGACCUUUAAAAUUUUACA
rnacentral:rRNA from 1 species